GGGGUUGUGGCUCAGUGGUAGAGUGUUCACCUAGCACAUGAGGGGUGCUGGGUUCAAUCCUAAGCACCACA
rnacentral:tRNA from 1 species